UACGUAGGGCGCAAGCGUUAUCCGGAAUUAUUGGGCGUAAAGAGCUCGUAGGCGGUUUGUCGCGUCUGCCGUGAAAGUCCGGGGCUCAACUCCGGAUCUGCGGUGGGUACGGGCAGACUAGAGUGAUGUAGGGGAUACUGGAAUUCCUGGUGUAGCGGUGAAAUGCGUAGAUAUCAGGAGGAAUACCUAUGGCGAAAGCAGGUAUCCGGGCCAUAACUGACACUGAGCUGCGAAAGCUAGGGGAGCAAACAGG
rnacentral:rRNA from 1 species